rnacentral:rRNA from 1 species
AGGAUGUUGGGUUAAGUCCCGCAACGAGCGCAACCCUCGACCUUAGUUGCCAGCAUUCAGUUGGGCACUCUAGCGAGACUGCCGGUAAUAAACCGGAGGAAGUGGGGAUGACGUCAAAUCAUCAUGCCCCUUAUGACCUGGGCUACACACGUGCUACAAUGGUUGGUACAACGAGUUGCGAGUCGGUGACGGCGAGCUAAUCUCUUAAAGCCAAUCUCAGUUCGGAUUGUAGGCUGCAACUCGCCUACAUGAAGUCGGAAUCGCUAGUAAUCGCGGAUCAGCACGCCGCGGUCGAAUACGUUCCGGGCCUU